AGUUUGAUCAUGGCUCAGGAUUAACGCUGGCGGUAUGCCUAACACAUGCAAGUCGAACGGAAUACUCGAAAAGAGAAUCUCACACUAGUGAGAGGUUCUCCAACCGAGUAUUUAGUGGCGGACGGGUGAGUAACACGUUGGAACCUGCCCCGAAGUGGGGAAUAACUGCUCGAAAGAGUAGCUAAUACCCCAUAGUAUCCGGUUUAUCCGGAUUAAAGAUUUAUCGCUUCGGGAGGGGCCUGCGUCUGAUUAGCUUGUUGGCGGGGUAAAAGCUCACCAAGGCGACGAUCAGUAGCUGGUUCGAGAGGAUGACCAGCCACACUGGGACUGAGAUACGGCCCAGACUCCUACGGGAGGCAGCAGUGAGGAAUCUUCCACAAUGGACGAAAGUCUGAUGGAGCAAUACCGCGUGCAGGACGACGCUUUUCGGAGUGUAAACUGCUUUUGUCGUCGAAGAUUAUGACUGUAGACGAAGAAUAAGGACCGGCUAACUACGUG
rnacentral:rRNA from 1 species